rnacentral:rRNA from 1 species
GACGGAGGGUGCAAGCGUUGUUCGGAUUGACUGGGCGUAAAGGGCGUGUAGGCGGUCGGCCAAGUCUGAUGUGAAAGCCCGAGGCUCAGCCUCGGAAGUGCGUCGGAAACUAGUCGGCUGGAGCGCGAUAGAGGAGGGUGGAAUUCCUGGUGUAGCGGUGAAAUGCGUAGAUAUCAGGAGGAACACCGGCGGCGAAGGCGGCCCUCGUGGAUCGUUGCUGACGCUGAUACGCGAAAGCGUGGGGAGCAAACAGG